rnacentral:sRNA from 1 species
UAUCGAGUUUGGUAGGCGGCACAGGC